rnacentral:misc_RNA from 1 species
GAUGAAGAACGCAGCGAAAUGCGAUAAGUAAUGCGAAUUGCAGAAUUCCAGUGAGUCAUCGAAUCUUUGAACGCACAUUGCGCCCUUUGGUAUUCCGAAGGGCAUGCCUGUUCGAGCGUCAUUAUCACCCCUCAAGCCCCUCUGGGUUUGGCGUUGGACGGCUUGGUCGUGAGAAUCGACCCCUCCUAAAGACAAUGACGGCGGCCUCGUGGGACCCCCGGUACACUGAGCUUCUUUACUGAGCACGUAUCGGAUUAUAAGGGUGCCCGGGCCACGGUCCCUCUUUCCUUUAACCGGGAAAAUAUUUUUUACAAGGUUGACCUCGGAUCAGGUAGGAAUACCCGCUGAACUUAAGCAUAUCAAUAAGCGGAGGA